AUUGAACGCUGGCGGCAGGCCUAACACAUGCAAGUCGAACGAGUGGCGGACGGGUGAGUAAUGUCUGGGAAACUGCCUGAUGGAGGGGGAUAACUACUGGAAACGGUCUCUAAUACCGCAUACCAUCAGAUGUGCCCAGAUGGGAUUAGCUUGUUGGUGGGGUAACGGCUCACCAGGGCGACAAUCCCUAGCUGGUAUGAGAGGGUGACCGGCAAAACGGGAACGGAGACACGGUCCAGACUCCUCCGGGAGGAAGCGGUGGGAAUUAUUGCACAAUGGGCGAAAGCCUGAUGCAGCCAUGCCGCGUGUAUGAAGCAGGCCUUCGGGUUGUAAAGUACUUUCAGCGGGAAGGCGUUACCCGCAGAAGAAGCACCGGCUAACUCCGUGCCAGCAGCCGCGGUAAUAC
rnacentral:rRNA from 1 species